rfam:Cloacibacillus evryensis DSM 19522 genomic scaffold CloevDRAFT_Scaffold1.1, whole genome shotgun sequence.
GCCAACUUAGCUCAGUUGGUAGAGCAGCGCACUCGUAAUGCGCAGGUCUCCGGUUCGAGUCCGGAAGUUGGCU